GUAGGGUCCAAGCGUUAAUCGGAAUUACUGGGCGUAAAGCGUGCGCAGGCGGUUGUGCAGGACCGAUGUGAAAUCCCCGAGCUUAACUUGGGAAUUGCAUUGGUGACUGCACGGCUAGCGUGUGUCAGAGGGGGGUAGAAUUCCACGUGUAGCAGUGAAAUGCGUAGAGAUGUGGAGGAAUACCGAUGGCGAAGGCAGCCCCCUGGGAUAACACUGACGCUCAUGCACGAAAGCGUGGGGAGCAAACAGGAUUAGAUACCCUGGUAGUCCACGCCCUAAACGAUGUCAACUAGUUGUUGGGGAUUCAUUUCCUUAGUAACGUAGCUAACGCGUGAAGUUGACCGCCUGGGGAGU
rnacentral:rRNA from 1 species